GACGAACGCUGGCGGCGUGCUUAACACAUGCAAGUCGAACGGUGAAGCGCCUUCCUUUUUGGUGGGUGUGGAUGAGUGGCGAACGGGUGAGUAACACGUGAGUAACCUGCCCCCUUCUUCUGGAUAACCGCAUGAAAGUGUGGCUAAUACGGGAUAUUCUGGGUCUGUCGCAUGAUGGGUCUGGGAAAGAUAUUGUUUCGGUGGGGGAUGGGCUCGCGGCCUAUCAGCUUGUUGGUGGGGUGAUGGCCUACCAAGGCGGUGACGGGUAGCCGGCCUGGGAGGGUGGACGGUCACACUGGGACUGAGACACGGCCCAGACUCCUACGGGAGGCAGCAGUGGGGAAUAUUGCACAAUGGGCGCAAGCCUGAUGCAGCGACGCCGCGUGAGCGAUGGAGUCCUUCGGGUUGUGAACCUCUUUCGCCAGUGAAGCAGGCCUGCCUCGUUUGUGGGUGGGUUGACGGUAGCUGGAUAAGAAGCGCCGGCUAACUACGUG
rnacentral:rRNA from 1 species